CCACAGAACCUGCCCCCUGCUGCUGACAGGCGGCUGCUGCUCAUGGAUGCGUCACAGCCCACCCCCACCUUGGCGCGGGGGUCAUGGGCUCUCACGAGGCGUUGGGAUGGAUGCAGGGGAAGGAUCUUAUUGAGCGAAAGAAGAGAGAGGUCGUUCUUGUCCCUGUGUGUGUAAAUGUGAAGUUGUCAAGGCUGUCUAUGAAGAGUGAAAUGAAUUGUGAAGUGACAAACAGAGCAUAGAUCACCUUUCUUCAAUCAGCAAAGAAGAAUUAGAGCCACUGGAUCAAGUAUAAUCAGCAUGAACAG